UACGGAGGGUGCAAGCGUUAUCCGGGUUCACUGGGUUUAAAGGGUGCGUAGGCGGACAGGUAAGUCAGUGGUGAAAUCUCUGGGCUUAACCCAGAAACUGCCGUUGAUACUAUUUGUCUUGAAUAUCCUGGAGGUAGGCGGAAUAUGUCAUGUAGCGGUGAAAUGCUUAGAUAUGACAUAGAACACCGAUAGCGAAGGCAGCUUACUACAGGAUGAUUGACGCUGAGGCACGAAAGCGUGGGGAGCAAACAGG
rnacentral:rRNA from 1 species